CCUGCAAAUACUUCCCUCUCCAACAAAAUUUGGAGUACCAUCCCCUUUGUUUGUAAAGGAGAUAAUCAGAGAGAGAGAUGGCGAAUAAGGUGAUGGUUGUUUUACUCGUGAGCUUAAUGAUCAUGGCCAUGGUUGGAGAAGGAAGUGCUGAAUACUGCUUCACGAGAUGCUACAACUAUUGCCGGAAACAUGGAGGUUUAAUUAUCGACUGCAUUGUCAAUUGUCCUGGUGUCUGCGACCCCAACAAGCAUCGAUUUCCACCUACUAACUGGCCACGGCCUGGAUCAACAUGAUCCACCAGGUACGAUUCCUCGAUUUUGUGUAGGGCAUUGCUAAGCCCAAUAGGAUCGAAGUUAACAUGGAUUGAACUUUGCUUCGCUCCAUUUCUUACUCUUCUCAACUCAUUUUCCCAUUUAUUGUACCUCCAUGGAAAUCAAAAUAUUGGUGGAAAUGAUUUAAUCUCCCCAUUGAAUAAAGUCUCAUUUUUACAUAUUCU